UACUGUUGUUGCCGUUGUUGCUGCUGCUGCCGCCGCUGCUGCAUGUUUGGUGUCUGAGCUAAAGAUACCCGCAUCGGUGUGAAAAUAAAAUGGAGUGCGUCUCAAUUGUGUCUUGAAGUAGACGGAAACUCCUCCGCAACGCCACGGUCAAUCGUAUGCAGGGGUGUGCAUACAUAUACAUAUGUGUACAUACAUACAUGCAUACAGAAGUAUAUCGUAAAUGUCUGCGUGUUUCCUCUGCUCUAUGGACUCGACCAUGUUUGAUUUUAAAGUCCGUUUCCCGAUAGCAGGAAGGCAGGCCGCACACACCAGAUUGAAAGGAAUUCGCAUUCGUCCUUUUGUUCCCCAGCGUAAAGUAUGCGCCAACUGUGUCAACAGUGUUCUCGCAGUGCCACCAUCUGUCCCAUGCCCCACAGCUCGCAGCGUGACGUGUACUCGUAGAAGUUGUACUCCAAAUCUUGCUUUAAUACAGUGAAAUCCUUCAAAAGCCGGCAUUAUUUGGAUUCGUUUGAGAUUGCCAAGACUCGUCCUUCCCUGGGAGUUAUGUAUGUAUGUACAUACGUAUGUAUCUAAUCAUUCAUUUAAGAUUCACACGAUUUUGUCCUUUUAUGGAAGUUUGAAGUUUACUACUAUGAGAGUCUCCUUCUCUAUGGGUUCUCUUGGAAAGCCUUAUUGGAAAAUCAAUCAUGAAUUUCUGUUUUUUCUUAAAAUGCUUUCUUCAAAACUUCCUCGAGGGGUUAGGAGUGACAUUCGUUUUAAAUUUAAUCCAAUAAAUUCGUUUAAAUCAUGUCUGUAAAGGAUCUGAUAUGGACAGAUGAAGGCAUUUCUGGAAAAAUGUUCUGCCAACUCCCGUAAACGAAAAACCGACCGUAUCGGAUUUGAUUGAAAUCAAAUUAAAAUUUCAGGUGUUUUCGGUAUUUUAUAACAGUAAGCAGGAUGAUUCUACCAGGAGAGGCAUCGCCCAUGAAGUGUUACUUAAAUAAAUUUGGGAAAUGUCUUGGAUGUUUGCCGCAACUUUCGUUGCGUAGCGUUAGAUCUGAUGGAUAGUCCUGCUAUGGAAAAUGUAGUCUCUCCGAAUUCCCCUUUGUACCAUGCAGAAUUCGUAAUCCUGGCUGCCUAAACUAUUCAAUUCUAUGGAUCAGCAUAAACUCUACGUAGUGUUUCUCGGUUUUUUAACUGAACAAUACGUACGAAUGUAUAUUCAAUGCUUGUCCAAUGGAAAUUCUUGUUAGAAAAAACCAAAAACAUUUAAUUUUCAAUGAAUAAAGUACAAAGUAAGUAAGUAAUUAUGUAAUAAAGAAAAAAGUACAAAAUGACUCUAGGCAGUCUUCUCUUGCAGUGUUCGCGUUGUUUAACAACUCUGCAGCAUGCUAGUCUUGGCGAUGAAAAAGAGGCCGGUCACAUAGGUAAGCGGGAAUAUGGGAUCAGCGAUUAAAAAAAAAUAACUGGAGGAGGAUUGGAAAGUCACAGGGAAAUUAAAACAAUGAUUUUUUCGAAUUCAAUUCAAAGCGAUAGAGUAU